CCCUUAGAUGUCCUGGGCCGCACGCGCGCUACACUGAGUGUCUGAGAUACGAGUCUGCCAGGUCCGGCAAGGUCUAGGUAAUCGCUAAAAGACACAUCAUGCUUGGGAUAGAUUAUUGCAAAUAUUAAUCUUGAACGAGGAAUUCCUAGUAAGCGCAAGUCAACAGCUUGCGUUUAUUACGUCCCUGCCCUUUGUACACACCGCCCGUCGCUACUACUGAUUGGAUGUUUAAGCGAGGUUCUCGAACUGCUAGCGACUUAGCUUCGGUGAGGUCGCAGUGUGGGAAGUGAACCUAGCUUUGGUGUCUAGAGGAAGUAAAAGUCGUAACA
rnacentral:rRNA from 1 species